rnacentral:rRNA from 1 species
UUUACCCUACGGGGGGCAGCAGUGAGGAAUAUUGGUCAAUGGGAGAGAUCCUGAACCAGCCAAGCCGCGUGAGGGAAGACGGCCCUAUGGGUUGUAAACCUCUUUUGUCGGAGAACAAAACCCGGGACGUGUCCCGGACUGCGUGUAUCCGAAGAAAAAGCAUCGGCUAACUCCGUGCCAGCAGCCGCGGUAAUACGGAGGAUGCGAGCGUUAUCCGGAUUUAUUGGGUUUAAAGGGUGCGCAGGCGGAGGUGCAAGUCAGCGGUCAAAUUGCGGGGCUCAACCCCGUACUGCCGUUGAAACUGC